rnacentral:tRNA from 1 species
GGCCAGCUAGCUCAGUCAGUUAGAGCAUGGUGCUGAUAACACCAAGGUCGUGGGGUGGGUUUGAUCCCCGUUCGGUCCC